rnacentral:rRNA from 1 species
UACGGAGGGAGCUAGCGUUGUUCGGAAAUACUGGGCGUAAAGCGCACGUAGGCGGCGCAGCAAGUCAGGGGUGAAAUCCCGGGGCUCAACCCCGGAACUGCCUCUGAAACUGCAGUGCUAGAAUCUUGGAGAGGUCAGUGGAAUUCCGAGUGUAGAGGUGAAAUUCGUAGAUAUUCGGAAGAACACCAGUGGCGAAGGCGACUGACUGGACAAGUAUUGACGCUGAGGUGCGAAAAGCGUGGGGGAGCAAACAGG